ACUCACUUAACUUUCCCUGAGCUUCAUGAGCUCUGCCUUCCAGUUUAAGCCCUGGAAAUACAUAACGAAGCACAAAAGCCAGCUUUGCUUUAUGAGCUCCAUGGAAAAGACACACAAUAAAAUGGUCAUAUUUUAAUGUGAAAAAUGUUAAUGACAAGUAAAGCCAAGUGUGUCAAGGGGACAUAGUAAAGGGGCCUAAUGUGGCUUGGAGAGUCAGGGAGGGCUCGUGCUUUGUACAACGGCUUUGUAUCUAAACUCUCAUACAAAGGGUGAGAAGUUGGCCAGGCAAAGAUGGGGAAUUUGUGGAAGGGGUCAUGAAAGAUUUGAGGGCUGGAAGAAAUUUCACUCUGGCUAGGGCAUAGAGCGCGAACUAGGUUCUCAGACCCGAAGCCAGAGGAAUGAGUAGAAACUACAUCACGGGACCUUGGAAACCAACGUUAAGAAGCUGCCAAAGCACCUUGAGGAGAAAGACUUGAUUAGUAUUAUAUUGAAACAUGAAUUAUUUGGGAAAUGUCAAGGUGUCUGAAAAGUGGAAUGAGUUAAAAUUGAGGAAGGAAGCAUUCUAGAGGAGAAGACUGAAAACCAGAAAUGCUGAGUGAUACCUCAGAGGUCACAUAACUAGUUAGUAGCAGAGUUGGGGCCAUAUACCAGUGUUGUUGAUUCUGCAGAACCAACUGCUUUCUGUAUUAUUCCAACUCAUCCUUCUUUGUGUGGAUUGGAUGGAACUGACUGUUCAGCUCAUCAUAUGUGCCUCCUCCUCCAUUUUGGAGAGAUCAAGAAAAAGACUAAUCCUUCUAUAAUCUGACUGUGAUUAUCAAAUUUCCCUGUCUGCUAGGAGACAGUUGUUUCUGGCGCGUCUCUUUGGCUCCAGUAAAGACAAUACAAACCAUGGCCAGAACAGCUAAAAUGAAAACUCUCCCAUUUCUCAGAGUGAGAGAAAACAUCAUGGGACCACAGGGGCUGAAAAACCCAUUCUUUUACUCACGUGUUGGAGGCGCCCAUUGCUACUGCCACAAUGCCUGCAAGGCCUCCCACUACACCAGGAUUCCCUGUACAAUAGUGCCCCACUGGAGGCCCAAAGCAGCAACGAGUAGGUUGAUACCCACACUGCUGAAGCCAUAUUUCUUCAGGAAGGUCAUGAGGAAGCCAAACCCAACAAAUAUCAUAACAUGUACAUCUUGGAACACUGGAAAAGAGGAAAGGAAAAAAUAUCUGCAUUAUGAGAGCAUGAAGAAAGUACUGCAUCAUAGUAUACCCCACUUAUUAAGUGCUACCACCUUUGUAUAACACACUAGGAAAAGAGAGCAUUUAACUGGGAAGCAAAAGUCUUGUUCCAAUGCCAGCUUGACUACUUACUAACCAAGAGACUUUGGCAAGUUAUUCAGUGUUGGAGCUUUUUAUUGGGAAGACUAUGCACUAUUACAACAGUGUGUCUUUCAUCCUGUCCCUGAGAAAUUCUACAUUGUUUUCCACCUGAGGACAGACUUACAAAGCACAGAGCAAGCAUCACCCCUUCUUGAAGACUUUCCCAAUACUCUCAGGAAACAGAAUUAUUUUCUGUUUUCAUUUACAUAGCUUUGUGUAUAUACUUUAGCUUUAUCAUUGUCAUGCUAUAAUAGCAUUUAUUUAGCAUUUGUCACACUGUAAUAGUCAAUAAGGUGUCCAUCUCCUGCACUAGAUUGUGAACUUCUUGAUUGAAGGGGUUUGGAACCAUUCAUACCUGGCUCUCUUUAACUUGGCAUAAUAGCUUGCAUAUCAGAGAAGAAGUAGUACGUUUCUUUGAUGGAUGAGUCUCCAUUUAUCAAAUAUGUAUAAUAGCACCAGCCACGAAAAUCUUACCAGAUCAUUAUUUGGGUCAAAUGGGAUAAUUUCUUUGUUAGCACUUUAUGAACCAUGAAGCAUUAAUAAACAUAAAGGCUGUAUCCUCUUGAGUAACAAAUAUUCAACUUGGUGUCUGGGGAUAUGGGCUCAGGUACCUGAGUUCAAUCACAUGACUGUGUGACCCUGGGCAAGUCACUUACUCUCUAUGAGCUUCAGUGUUUUCAUCUGCAACAUUGUAAAGGCCCUAUUUCACAGAAUAAUCCAAGUGGGAUCACCUGUGUAGGAGGAUUUGCAUACGGUAAAGUAUUAUGCCAAUAAAACAUAUGAUCAAAUGCAAGAUAGUGAAAACAUGAGCUCUUCCUUCAAGAAACUGACAGUUAAGUUGGUAAGACAUAUAUAUGGAUAAACCAUAUAUGAGAUUGACAUUUUUGCAUUGGAAAUAGUCCUUCGAUCUGAAGGAAGGAUCUGGGCAGUACACAUAACAGCAUCCACUACAGUGGACAAACCUGAAUGGGGCACCAUAGUUUCUCUCUCUCUCUUUUUUUGGGGGGGGAGACAGAGCGAGACUCUGUCUCCCAGGAUGGAGUGCAGUGGCAUGAACUCGGCUCACUGCAACCUCCGCCUCCCAAGUUCAAGCAAUUCUCCUGCCUCAGCCUCCCAAGUAGCUGGGAUUACGGGCGCAUGCCACCAUGCCCAGAUAAUCUUUGUAUUUUUGUAGAGAUGAGAUUUCACCAUGUUGGCCAGGCUGGUCUCAAACUCCUGACCUCAGGUGAUCUGCCCACCUCGGCCUCCCAAAUUGCUGGGAUUACAGGUGUGACCCACCAUGCCCGGCCCCAUAGUCUCUUUUAAAUUAAACAUCACCAUUGUGGCCAGAGGUUUAAGUGGAAAUAGGUAUGAGGGAGGAUGUGCCUGGAAAAUAUGUCCCAGAAGAAACCAACAUUAAAAGUCCAUUAAUUUGCCCAAAGGAUGAAGUCAGGAUUUGAACUCCAACCUGACUUUCCUGAUUUCUCCAUUCAUUGAGCACUGUAGGGGUAUAAAAUAACCGAAGCAGAGCUCUGGCUUCCGAGGCACACAGAGACGUUACUGCUUCUUGGCUCCUCUCUACUUCUGUUCUGCCAUCAGGCUCAGGGGCUAGUGUGUUGAGGGUAAGAGACUGUGGUACACUACUCAGGCUUGUCUACUGCAGUGGAUGCUGAGAUGCGCUGCCCAGAUGCCCCCUUCAGAUCAAAAGACUUAUUCCUCUCAUUUUCCCUGGCGGUCAGGAGUGCCGCCAGAUGAAACCCUAAGCUCUCAAUUCUCUCUGGAAAAUGCUCUUCUUUUGCUCAAGAUCAUAGCUCUUCCUUCGGGUAGUCUGGACACAAUAACUGAUUCACAUGAGCAACCGCUUGUCUCAGAAAAGGACCACCUAAAACUGGAUAAUCCUAGCUUCAGAGCCUCCUGAAGGGUCAGCUGAGGCCUUCUCCUUCUCUGCCCAAAUUCUUUCCCUCAGGUGUUGAUCCUUAAGGUGUUGAUUCCCAUCCCAUACCUACCCAGGGUACCCUAGAACUGAGAUUUUACCUGACUCGCUGAUGGGCAUUUGUCAAUUAAUAUCAACCUGUUUCCCUUUUUGCUUUUUGAAGUAGAGAUAAUCACAUAUAUUCAUUUUUCUUUACACAUUGAUUUGUCACCCACCAUUUAAUUUUUGUAUGUAAAAAUUUGAUCUAGAUCAUAGAAUAAAUUGGACAGGAACUUAGGGGAUAUGCAUGAUUCUUAGUAUGGUUUUAGUAAACCUUUAUGGGACUCAGUUAUCUUUUAAGGAAUACUUGGAUUACAUGAUGUCUAAAGUGUCUUAGCUCUACAAUUUAUUUUAUUUUGCAUUUAGGUCAGGACACUGAGACACAG
rnacentral:lncRNA from 1 species